UUUGUCUGCAUGCACAAAGAAGAAAAGCCUUUUGUUCCACUAGUCAUCUCAUAAUGAAACGUCUGGCCUCCAGAAGCGCCGAGGAUGUCGUGAUCUCAUCGGAGUUGCAAGGUCCCUUAUGUCUACGGCUGUAUUUCAAAGCAACACUCCCCACUACAGGUCAUCAGUGAGAAAGAGGGAAAGCCACGGCCAUCGUGUGAGGAAGGCAGCUAGAAGUCACAGAUCUGGGUGGACAGAAACUUUGAGGAAAAAACAAUUGCCUUUGAGCUCUCUGUUGUAAGUGGAAUAAAUCUGAAGACCAAAUCCGA